UGAAAUAAUCAAAAUUGCCCUGAUUGUUCAUAUGUAUACCCUCAGCUAGUUAGUUGGCGGAAUUGAACGAAAACUACACAAUCCAUUUCUUUACUCAUGAAUCAAUAUUAUUUUAAAAAUUGGAGAUGAUAGCAGAUAGUCCAGAUCAAAAAAUAAACAGACAAAACAUAACGAUCUCAAAACGGGCUGCACAACAAAACACAGACUACAAAAAUUUGCAAUAAAAUGAAUCAUGGAUAAGAUUUCCAAAAAUGUAGUGCAUAUGUCAAAUGUGUAUGGAUUAUCAACGUGAAAAAUGUAGACGCAUCAGAUACAUAUAUGAUUUACAGUAUAUCCACAUCCAAAAAAGGCAGAAUUUGAAAAAAAAUAUUAGGAUAUUUUACUGUUCACAUUCCAUGAAAAAAUCUAGAUACACAUUGCAUAAGGGCAAAAAAAAUUGGAAUUGAGCUGCAGUGUGGUAAAAAAACAAAAAACAACCUCAUUGUGUUUGGCUGUUUGUACCUGAGUUGAAAUGUGCAUUACUGCCACCUACAGGUCUGGAGUUGAACAGUAUGACAACGUUUCAAUUGUUUAAGAUUGUUUGGCAUCACGUGCGCCAUCCUAGGUAUUUUCAAUCAGCCAGACCUUUCGAUACAGCUCUUGUAUUGGAUCUCAUUUGAUUGUUUAGAUGUACCAAAUGUCGCCGACAAAUGUAUGUUAAAGCAAAAAGAGUGGGACUAUUCGGACUUGUGAAAAGAAGUGGCUAAGUUCAGUGCCUGAGGUGAAAUAGUCGAUUCGACUGAGAGGAUUUGUUCUGGUGAAUGGAAAGAACUUGAUGAUCUCAGACAUGAAGACAGGAGGAGGAGGAAGGAGGUGGAGUGAGACCAAAGGGAGGAAGUGAUCCAGAGUGGGAACUGUACUUGAUUUAAAUGUGACUGCACACCAUUUGUGCAUGCAUCUGACAAAAAUGAUCACACAUCAUGGACAUUUUAAAGCUUAUCAGGAUGAAAUUGGAUUACAAAAAAAAGACAAGUGCUUUCACACUUGCAGGAAUGUGGCACUGAAUCUUGCACUUGUCUGGGCAUGUUCGUGUUCAUGUGAGAUUGAUGUCUCUGGGCAGCUGUGCCAGUAUUAAGUUGCCGCACGCUAGUCUCCAGUGAACAGGAAACCAGCAAGUUUUAAUUAUUUGAGAAUCAAAUCAGGCAAUCAAAUAUAAGGAAAGAAUAGGCAACUCAAUGUUCCAUCCAUCCAUUUUCCACAGCACUUUGUCUUCAUUUUUGUUGCACGUGAGCUAGAGCAAGCAGACUGGUCACCCGGGCACAUACAGUAGAGAUCAACAAGUUUCAAAAUUGGAACCUCCCAACUGUGAGGCAGACUUGCUUCCCACUAGCUCACCGUGCUGCCUAAUGCAAUGUUAAGAGUGCUUAUUAAAGCCAUACAUUGUCAGACAAACGUUUCCGUUGCAUUGAGUAGUCUGCAGUGUGUUAAGCUCCACCAUUUCGCGACGGCUGGCACUCCAGAACAGAAAAACACAAAACAAUGAAAGGGCAAACAAGAGUCUUUAAAGGGAACUUUAUAACAGAACAUUUUUCAUUGUGUGACCGUUAUUAGAUGUCUCAAUAACCUUUUCACAUUUUUAAAUGGCGUCAUAAGAGAAGUUAACUGUAAAAAUAAAUCAGAAAAUAAACUAAAAUAAAGUCAAGCCACUCGCCCUUCGAAAAUGUUCAACAGGCACUAUGAGGAGGGAAUAGGAUGCUGUUGUGCUGAAGUCUUAAAAGAUAUGUCAUAGAUGAUGGUGCUUUGAAUUCCAACUUUUUUGUUCAAUGCAUAUUUUCCCCAGACUAUUUCACCCUUUCAGGGACAGUGGUCACUACAGUGGACAGCUUAUCGUGUUAUCAAGUCACAGGUUAUCAUUAUUGAUGCACGAAAGGGUUAAGGUUCAACUCCACUCUACUGUAUUCACAAAAUGUAGUCCUCUGAACAGUCACUCCCUUUAUGAGCAUAAAUUGCUUCAUUGCAGCUCGGCGGUCUCGGUGAUGAGUUUUAGCAUCUUAUCCACAGGCUAAUAAAUUAUUUAGUGCAUGCAAAAGGCUAGAACUCCUUCAGCGAUGGCUCCUUUUAUUUCUAUGUUCUCUUUCAUUGUGCUCAAAAUCGAUACGGUUACUUGACCCCCAUAAGGAAUCUCUGCCGGCAGCUGCUCAAGGCUUUAAAAAUCUGCUCCGGUCUACCACAAAAACAUGUGUCGUAAUGUCGGAGGAAUGUUGGGUAACGCUGAUAGCACUGGCUCGCUGUGAUAAACAACAAAAAGGUCAACCUGAGACAGUUGCUUCAUCCGUGGAGCCAUUGUUGCCGCAUUCCGCCAGCCGGGGUAGAAAAUCAAUGGUUGAUGAUAUUUCCAGUAUUACAUGUAACCUGACAUCGCAAGUCCCACUGAAAGGAAUACUGAGAUUUUGACAUCCAACCAAAAUGUCAAAGAAAGAAAUCAGUCGGGGACAUGAUGUUGGCUAAAAUAUUACAAUCUACCAUAGCGCAGUCCAUUGUACCAUAGUACUUUAAUGUGCCGUGGUGGUUUAUAUUAUUAUUAUACAUAUUUACUGCUCAUAAUGCUACUGUGAUAUUACAUCUGUUAACUGGUUGUAGGAGGAACCCAGAGAUGCCCAGUUUAGAUUCAACACUGCAACGUUUUGACUGUUGUGUGGCAAACGUGCUACAAAUUCACUGUACUGCAAUGUGUUUUUAUAUAGCAUGAGAUGUUUCUAUAAUUCUGAUAUGAUAGAUGUAGUAUGAAAGGGGGAGUUGGAAUUUUCCCAAAAAAUAGCAACAGCAACAACAAUGACAACAUUUUUGUCAUACCUGUUUAGACAGACAUAAGAUAAAUACAAAUACCGGUAGGUAAAAAAAAAAAAAGUGUGAAAACGGGACUUACUGCACUUAGGCCAAGCUAACUCUGGGUUAUUAAUUUCACCCAAUGCUGAUGAUAAUGAUUAGCAGUCGUUCAAUAAAUUGAUUUCCACAAUGAGUGUCCCAUGUUGGCGUCGUAUUUAUGAAUACAGUAAAACACCAUGAGGUCCACCACGUACUUCAGCGCUGAAACUCUCUGACUGCACCUCGAUGAGUUUUUUUGAAGUUUUUGUCACCAAAUCGCGAGAUGCACCAAGGGGCGCAGUAGGUACAUCCAGUGAGGCAUAGCGUGUCUACCAAAUUCACAAACACAAACAAAAUGAGACCGUUGCACGAAAAUGAAGAUGCACCCAUUAUUUGUGCAAAGUGCAGACCACUUUCUGUCACCAAAUUAUCAGGUGCGUCGAGGGUGAGGCUGCUUUGUGCGCUGGCACGCCCAUACAGGCACAACACAGCCCCAGACACGCCAGGCUAGAGAUGAGCUGGCAAGUUACGCCCACUUUUAUGCCGAGCGCAUGCUAGUCUACCAAAAUGGGGCCCAAAACGUUAGCGCUUUAAAGUUGUAUGUUUUGCUGUCUGUGACACAAAAAAAAAAAUCUUUUUAAAUUCUCAAAUGGGCACAGCCCAUGCACCAAAUGCCCUCCAAUGUCUCUCAGCAUUCAUAUAACAUUUCCUUGUGCAUCAUCAGACAUUUAAGGGCAGUUUUCUAUUGUUUUUAUAUUUGACUGAAUUAUUCAAAUCUUGUCAAAUUCUAGCAAGCCUACAACUGGCAACACACAAAGCACUGUGCGGGCUGUGCCCUCCCGUGCCUACUGAACUGGUAUCAGUGUUUUACCAAAAAACUGGCUCAGUUCAGCAGGAACAGGAGUGGAGCCUAAUCUCAAGAAGGAAUGACCUCACCGGCGUCCAACGAGCGAGACGAACAGCAUUUGGAUCACAAGCUCCCAACCAUCACAUCGCACUGCGCCACGAGUUCUUGGCCCUGAUCAGACCCAAGAUGACAGCACUGAGGCCACAAGUGUUCACAAGGCCGUUGCAGCUGCAGAUGACUGUCACAGCAGCUAUGAAUGUUUCAUGAGCUGAGUAUUUUGUUCCUUGAUAGGUAGCAUCUGCACACUUGCGUGAAUACUGUUACAUAUAAAUGUGGUUGAUUUGCUUGCUCUCAUGUUUUUUUCAACAUCUUUCCCCAGGCGAGACAAAAUCUCACUGCGCUCUUUGUUUCUGGAUGGUUUUCUCAGUUUUUGAGCCUGGUGAUUCUUAAAGCGUGGUACUUACCACUGGUGGUAUGCAGGCUCCCUCUCAUGAUAACUGAAAAAAAUCACUGUCUAAGUACAGUUCAGUUGUAUUUAACUUUGGUCCAAUACAUUUGAAUUUCACAACAAGUCGUCGGCAACUUUAUUGAGUGUUUUCUUGUAAGGCUUUCAAACGGGUCAUUGUGCCACAUUGCAUCAUUGAAGUAUUGGCCAUUGUCCCACUUUUUGUUCAACUACUAAGGCGUAUGAUAUCCGGGUGCUUUCUCUGUGUGUAUUUCUGUUCACUUCAUGUUUUGUCAAUUCAAGUACAGUAUUGCCAGACAAUGCUGUUACUGGAUGCAGCACUUCCUUGAGUGAAUCUUUUCCGCAGCCGAGCACAUACACUGACAGAAUGACUGUUUAUUGUUGAGCUGCAGUAUAAAUUUAGUUUUUUUUCACUAGAAGGUGUGAAGAGGCUACUGUAUAUAACAUGACUUGUAGUGACUUAAAUGUUAUUACACUCAAUCAAAGAGAAGAGUGAUGUUUAAUGUCAAGGUAUCCAUUUUAUUUUGGGGGUUCUCUGACUGUAAAUCAGGCAGAUGUAUUUUUUGGUUUAAUAUUUUGGAUUAACUGGAGUGACAUGGUUUUCUAUGGGAAAUACUGAUUUGGUUUUCAUACAGUUUGGUUUUAGUCCGAUGUUCCACUUAGGACUAUAGACUUUCUCACUUUUAAUGAACACUAGGGCCUAUUAUGCCACUGCACUUUAAUGUUGAUCAUAAUGCUGGUAAUUGGAGAGUCAAAUAGUGUAUUAUUUGUUUAAGUGGAUCUGUACUUGUAAAGAGUUUCAGAAACACUGCUAUAACCCUUUUCAAACUAUUAAAGGCACAGACUGAAACCUCGAAA